AAUAUCUUUGAAAAGAUAGUCUGGAACGAAAGCUGUCAAUGCUUCUGCUCAGAAAACAUAUGGAAACCCAAAAUUCAUAAAGAGUUGUCUCCAACAGGUCUGGCAUACCAAUGAAACUACUGAUGUCAACUGGUCUGAUGAACCUCACAAGAAGCUGACCCACCAAAGAAUGUUGUUUCCGGAUGAUUUCAUCUCUCUUACUCCAGUGAAUCCGUGACCCCAAUUUUCUAGUCCCUUGCCUUCCAUGAUCCCCUUAUAAACUCCACCCCUGAACUCCUCCGGGAGAUGGAUUUAAGAAUCUCCCCUCAUCUCCUUGCUUGGCACCCUGCGACCAUUAAACUCCUUGUCUGUUGCAAA